CAAUCGGUUGUUUGCUGAUUUAUAUUUUCCGUUUCUCUUUCCUUGAUCGUCUCCUUCCGUUUUGCUGCAUUCCUGCUUCUUUCUUUCCCAUGUAAUAUCUUUUGUUGUUCUUUUCUUUAAUCUGCUGUCGAUUUUUUUGUUCGUUUUGUGUUUAUUAUGUGAUGGAUGUUCGUCGGAAAAGGGGGGCUGACCCCGGUGCUUUGUCUUCUUCUGUUAUCUCUGUUGGUCACCGGCGAAAAUGUACAUUCUCCCAUUAGAGACGCAUACCAUCGACUUUCAAGCGUCUCUUGCUGCUGGUUUUCUGUACCUCUUUCUUAUGUUUAUGCGAUUGAUGCUCUGAGUUCUUCUUCCCUAUCUUCUAUUUCACGUUUUUUGAUUGCUUUGUUUGAUAGGUUCCGAUUUUUAUUGUUCUUGACGAAUCAAGAUUGAGGCGAUGAUGAAUUUUUUUGUGAAAGUGAUUCACAUUCAAGGUCGUAUUUUGGCAUGGCAACUCGGAAGGCAUAUCCGAUUGGAACAUGCAACCGGUGUUUGCAACCAUACCGGUGUUUACCCCAAUUUUUUUUGAGCCUCCAAUUUCGUGUGAUAAGUUCUGAUUAUCUGAUACAUUAUUCGAAUAUUUGUAAAAUAUCGACUAGAAUGGAGUGGAAUAUGAACACCGUUCUACCUCUCCUUUUCUCGACUCCGAUCAGAAGCAACAACAAUUCUCAGAGGGUACCCCUUCAGUCCAUCACCCUAAUCUCUUUCGUUUGGUUCCGAUUUUUAUUUCUAUUGGUAUUGAGGUGAUGAUGUUUUUGAUUUGGUCGUUGAAUAUAAGGUAAAAUCUCCUACUUUCUUGAAUUUCUCUCAGGACAACAUCACCUGUAGGUUGCUGAAUAUAAAGACCUUCUAUUGCUAUAAUCGAUCGUAAUACUCUAUGGAAGCACCUACUCGUUGUUGAUCUAGAGCGACGAUACAUCCACGAGGUAAACCGAGUUCGCAAAUCAUUACUUACAAUAUGCAAAAAUCUAGCAACAUGUUCCUCAACGGACAUGCGUUGCGUACGUCGUAGACCACCUACAGUUUGUAAGAUUUCACACAAUCUCCUAAAAGCGUUUUCACUCAUACGAAUAAGGUCACGACAUUGACCACCUUCUAAAAGAUUGUGUAGCAACUCUUCCCGUAUAGCUUGUCUUUCUAAAAUAACUUUUCUAGUGGGUAACCUAACCCGCUUUUUGUUGGCCAUAUUACGUUGUGUAAUAAAAGUCAACAACAAGCAAAUCAAGUUAACGACUUGCAAUUGUCGGACUCUUAAAGCAUGGGCAGGGUUGAGUAUCGGAGUAUCCAUAAGGACUAUAUAUGAACUAAUCCCUUUUUCUGAUACAUGAUAAAAUAGUUUGAGUUAAAUUUAAACAACAUUGAUAAACAACAAUAUUUAAUUUUUUUAUAAGGACUAUAUAUGAACUAUAUACAUUUGUUAAUUAUAAUGUAUGAUUCUAUUUAGUUAUUAAAUAAAUAAAUUUGAUUCUAUUUAGUACUGUGAUGGAACUUUUAUUGUAUAAAUAAACAACUACCCACAUCACCUUAAACUAAGUAUUUAGGUUAAGAACAUCUUCAUAGAUUAAGAUCGGUUGUCUUUUUAUACUUUUAAUAAAUAAAUAAAUAAAACAUUUGUAAGCAUAGGUAACAUACAUUUGUCUCACUUAAAUAUAAAAUUUCAUAAAACAAAAUCUAUAAUUUAAUGGGUUUUAACUAAUUUUUUAGUCUAAUUAUACAUCUACAACAAACAAUAAGUACUUAAGCAUGUACAAAAAAAAUUAAUUUUUAAUAUUGAAUUUAAAACUUAUUUGUUAACUGAACUUUUUGAAAAACCAACUUAUAGUUUCUUAAUUGCUUAAAAAAAGGUAUAUAUGGGAAAACCACAAAAGAUCACAGGAAUGAAAUGAAAAUAUAUAAAAAGUUUGUUAUCAUUAGUUCUAUAUAUUUCUGCCCAUUUGAUGAUAUAUACUUACUGUGAGCAGAAAGGAAAAACAAAUUUGCUGUAUAGUCAUUUGCUGAUAUCUAUUUCCAAUUUUACCAUUUUUACUAGAAAUAUGAAAACAGGUUGUUGUUUAUAAGAAGAAAUUACAUACAAAGAAAUUAUGUACAGAAGAAUAACUAAAAACAAAACACAAGGAAGACGAUCAAGAACAUAAUAUCUCCCAAAAAACUAGUUUGAAGCUGUAUAUAAGAAGAAAUUGUGUUGUAUAUAAGAAGCUGUACAAAAAAAAAGAAAAAAAAAACAGUAUAUAAGAAGAAAUUGUGCGUACCAGUUGGAGAAGGCAGAAGGCUAGAUGAUGAAGAAGGUAGAAUAGAAGACAGGGGCGUAUCCUUUUAUCAUCAAGGCUAAGGGUAUUUUCGUCAUAAGGUAACUUUUUAUCUUCCAUGCGUUUCUUUCUCUCCAAUUCCUCCCGAUUUGGGAGGAAAGUUUGGAGCGAUACAAUUCCUCUACAAUCCGUUCUGUUCUUCUCUUCUCUUCUUAAAAAAAAAACUAGGGAGCAACCAAAAUUCUCUGUUUUCCUUCCAAUUCCUCUCAAUUCCGUUCUGUUCUUUCGUUAAUUGAUACUUAGGAGCGGGGCGUAAGCAUCGGAUGAAAUUGAAGGUCGUGUCUUGGGAAGGCAACUCAGAAUGCAUCUAUGCAACCGAUCCCUUUUCCUUCGAAAUUUCCCGUUCCAUCUACUGCUACAGGUUCUCCUUCUCUAAUCGAUCUCUCAUUGUCUCUAGAAAUCGAUUUUCCAAAGGUCGACCUAGAAUCGGUCGCACCCUUAGCCUUAGAUUUAGGCAGGAGAGCUAAUAAGAAAGUGGUCAGUAGUAAGAAGCAAAAGGUAGUGACAGGGCACCCACCUUCUCGCUUUGACCAUCAGAUAUCGAAAAUGGAAGGCAGUGAAAAACAAUCGAGUAACGUAUUCGUUAUUUCCCUCCAUCUUCGUCUUCUACUCAACAACUCAAAAUGGUCAUACCCUAGAGGCUUCACAGAAAUCAAACAGAAAACCAGAAGAAAAAAAAAACCGCAUCAUGGUUAAGAGAAUGCGUGUUGCAACUUGGUCCAACUUUUAUAAAGAUUGGACAAUUAUCAUCAACAAGAUCCGAUCUAUUCCCACAUGAAAUCAUACACGAGCUUGCUAAGUUACAGGACAGAGUUCCUGCCUUUUCUUCAACAAAAGCAAAGUGUUUGAUUGAGAGAGAAUUAGGAGCUCCAGUUGAUCACAUCCACAAAUUACAGGUGAAAGAAUGGGUUACUGUGAAGCACCGAAUUUCCUACAAAUUUGUGAAAUUGAGCUUCACAAUGAGUCGAGGUUCAGCAACUCAUCUACGCAUCCAUGUAAAGGUAAUGAAGAUAAUGAAGAGGAUGUGGAAAUUGGUGGACAUAGAUGUGAGGACCAGCAAAAUCAAUAGUUCAAAUUGCUCCAGUAGUGAUUCGGGAUCAGCAUCUACUGCACAGUCAAUCAGAUGUACAAUCAAACAAUAUAGUUUCUUUCCCAGUCAGAAAACUUUCCCAGACAACACUUUACCAGAAAGCACUUUCCCAGACAGAAACUAUCAAACGGAACCUAAGUUGGUAUGGGCUUGGAGAUCUUGAUGUGUUUGUCUUAGAAACAUAUAAGGCCGAAUGAUGGCGGACAACAAAGUCCGAUGAUACAUGGGACUAUGGGAGCCUAGAAGAGUAAAUAUUCAAGCGAAAUAAUAUUUAAGUCUUGUUUUCUUCAUUUGCCUCUUAGAACUAGGGUUUAUACAUUGUAAACCUUCUUAUGGGUUGUCUAAUCAGUAGGUUACAUUUGUCUUUAUAUUCUUUCUUAUGAAGAGGUGUUUUUGUUGCUUAUAGAUUUUAUCUUUAGUUCGAAGAAUAUUUUGUAAACACUUUAUUCGUGCUUUAUCAUUCAAAUAGUUUCUCUAAUUUCUACAGUUAAACUAUAUUUUCAGGUGAUCAUAAUUUGAA